rnacentral:snRNA from 1 species
AAGGUCUGAUUUCUCUUCAGAUCAAAUAAACCUUUUGCGUUUCACUAGAGAUUUCCAUGCAGAUGAACCUUUAUGAGUGUAGAGCCCAUUUUUUGAGGCUUUCAUGCUGCAAGCC